CAGUAGAUCAGAGGCAGAGCCAGC
rnacentral:piRNA from 1 species